ACACACACACACACACACACAGUCUGAGGUGAGAGGACUGGUGUGUGUGUGUGUGUGUGUGUGU